AUUAGGAUGUCUGAAUUUAAAGGUGGUAAAUUGUAAGUUUACUUAUGAAUUGAUAUUCUCUUAAUA
rnacentral:tRNA from 1 species